rnacentral:lncRNA from 1 species
CACAAAUGGACUUUGGGAGCCCAUUCCCCCUAGAGGGAUACUCUCUCUCAGCCUAGGGGAGGGGCUAGACCCUGCUCCAAAUGAUGUGACAGUCUUUAAUGAUCCCCCAUGGAAGGCCUCACCCUCCCUGGGGAGUGAAUGGGGAUAGAAUGGGGGUUUGUGGGGGGCACAGGAGCAUAGGAGAGAUAGAGAACUGGGAUUGAUAUGUAAAAUAAGAUUGUUUCUAAAUUAAAUAAAAAUAUAAUAACAAUAAAAAAGAAAAGCCCCCCCCCCAAAAAAAAUAAUACCUCUGACUUUUUCCAAAUUUAAUGAGCAGGUAGUUGGUUAAGACACAUCAGAGGACUAUGACUUGGGACUCUAAUUAAUAACUGUCUCCACCUUAAGUGAAUUCUCUGAGCUGUUAAGAGAGUUAUGCUGCCUGGUUAAUGUGUGAAAAUCUUGUCUUGGAUUUAGUUGUCCAUUUCAUCUACUCCAUAUCUGAUCCAUAAGAAAAUAGGGUUUUUCACUGAACCUUUCAGGAUAUAUGAUAAUGGGAGGAAUAUUGGCUCAACAUUUAUGAUUCUUUUGUACUUCUAGUUUCAGCUAUGACUAGCUGUAGUUGUGUAAUAUCAUAUAAUAGUUUGUGCCCCUUGGAAGCAUACAAAUCUGGUUUGAAUCCUGUAUUUGUCAUCUAUGGUCUUAGAUAUGUUCUCUCUGCUGGUCUUCUAGAAUAUAAAAUAAAGUAAUAUCCUCCACAUAUUAUGUUUACAAAGUGUGAAUCAUUGCACAUUUUUAUCUAAUUAAAUGAGGUAUAUCAUUUGUCUAACCCCAGGACAUUGAUCAUUAUUCUGCUAUCUCGGUUAUAAACAGUAGGCUAGCAGGGCGAUCAGAAGGCCUGGUUUGCACUGAGCUAUUUCAAGAAGCCAGUGAUUGAGUCUCUGAAAUAGAGUUCUAUAGGAAACAACCUGCUUAGAGGAACUGCUUCUAUUUCAAAAAAAGUAGUAUGAUUCAACAAACAAGCUUCAGUACUUGGGAUGACAGGGCCUGUUGUUUUAUUCAUGAAGUGAAAACAUUAAUUAGAACUUAAUUAUAAUGCCUGGGAGUCAUUUAAAAUAAAGAUCCAGGCAAUGAUGUGAAAUAUUUUUAGUAUUUUAGUAUUUCAAUAUUUAAAAUAUAAUAUGACAAAAUGUUCAACGGGGAAAAUGAUAGGUGUGCCAAAGAGGAAAGUGAAACAUAUCUGUGACCUGGAUAGCUGGUAUUGGGAAGAGCUCCUUUUGUGGGUAUUUUAGACUUUAAGUUUUUGAGAAUUAAUAUAUAGGGUUUAUUUGAGUUUAGAGGCAUGUAACAGACAGCAUAUACAAUGAAGCAUUUUUUGCAUCAUAGGAGACGUAAGGUGGAAGUUAGAAAAUAGCAACAGAUGCUAAUGAAGGGUAAUAGGAGACAGUGAUAUGAUCAGGUUCCUACUUCCAGUAAUUCAUCAGAGCAGUGGUGUCAGUUGAACUAUGGAACUGACAGUAAGAAACAGAAAGGGAAUCUUUGCAAACUACAAUAAUUAGUAAAUCUGUUGACGUUGGACAAGGGCAGAAGUUAGUAUAUAGCAACAGUCAUGUGCCAGAGACUGAUCUGAUGACCAGGUGGGUUGGUGCAGUUAUUCCUUGAUCUAGGAAUUGAGAAUAUAUAUUAGGUGUUUAGAAAGAAUAGAGACUCCAACCAAGGAGUUCUGAAUUGGGACUCAGGCUCUCUAGCUUCUAACUCUGGCUGAAUCCAACUCAUUCUUCCUCUUCAUGUUUAAUAUACCCACUUCUAUCAUAGGUACAAUGUCCCCAAGGGAACUGUACAUACAUGCAUCAUGGUCUCAGAAUUGUAUAGUCUGAUUCAAAUGACCAACAUCAAAUCCAAGAAUCUGUGCUUUCAAAAAUUUCUAGAAUGGCCAACAAGCUUGGAGACCCAUGGAACACAACAUCUCCGUGGGUUUUAUAUCUAAAAUAUCUCUGAAUGCACUCUCCCAAAACUCUGUCCUUCAUCCUGGUUCUGCAAAUGGGACCUGGCACACAGUAUGUCUUCCAUAGUCACUUCCAGAACGAACUAGUAUCCACAGUAUAUCUCCACUGUUCUUUGCUUCCCUCUUCACUCACCACACAGGUUAGGUUGGCAGAAGAAGCCAAGAUAGCUGCCCUGUAUAAAGUGGGCUUUGGAGGUGACUCUCUGCUGUGCCUCCUAUACUCCCAAGAAUAUGUGGCUGACCUUUCUCCAAAAUAUCCUGUAAUAAAUUUGUAACAGCUUAUGGAGAUGGAGGGUUGCUUUAUAUUUCAAUGUGGUAGUCUAUCAUGAAUAAAAUGUGGCAUUCUUAAACUCAAAAUUUUAGUAGACAGAAGCAACCCAAGAACUGAGCUUUGUUUUCUUUUUCCUUCCCAGCUCUGCUGGGAGGACACGUUACAUACUCUGUCUCUUGGUGUUUCCACAGAUCCCACUUCCUGAUUCAGAUGAGCUCAACAGACCCUGCAUGUAGACACAUGCAGAGAAAUCAUCCAAUAUGUCUGCAAAACACAUCAGUGCUUGGCCGUCAACACUGAGGCAUUAGUCUUUGUUUCAGUUCCUGGUUCCAGGAUCCUGUCUUGAGUUUCUGUCCUGCCUUCCCCUGAUAAUGGACUGUAUACCAUAAGGAAUGUCCUCUGGAGAGAUGAGUGGGGAUGAAUAAAUACUCCUGAGGCAGCUUAGAGCAUCAAGACAUGGAUGCAGAGAGAUGUCAGACAUCAGUAUUUUGCAUAUCACCUUCUGGAACUAUGAAAGCCAGCAGGAAGGAAGUUCGGGGGAAUCGAACAGGGUCUGGUGCUUACAAGAAUGCAAGAUCUGGUUAAGAAAAAAGGAAAAUAAACACUGUCAACGAAAUUCAGUGGGCAGAAGAAAGGUCAGAACUUUGGUAAUCCAAAGCCGGAGCCUAUGUCUGUGACUGAGUAAAUACAGUGAUUCCUAACAAGGUGGAUUGUGUCAGGACAACUGGCAGAAUGUCCAAGCUUCUGUAUUCUGUUGUCACAGGUACAUCCUUCACACUGCCCUCCGUGCUCAUUCUGGCUUACUGAAGUUGGAAGAAGAACAAAGGAAAUUAUGCAGGCACUGUGGGUGAUAAUUAACAUAAGAAGGAUGCACAUUCUAAGAAGAGAAUUUGGUUUACAAACUCACAUAAAGAUGCAAAAUUCUUUCUAUGUGUCUUCCAAAAAUGACCAAAAGAAAAAAGUUAAAGAGAAAAUGAACAAACAAGCAAAAAACAAAACAAACAAACAUAAAACAGGAAAUAUGGAGUCUAUCUUAAGCAAAAAUAGAAAUGGUUGCCAAUGGUUACCAUGAGCUUGGAUAUAUUUCUUUGUCAUAUGGUAAGGUUGGGUUGAGGGAGUGAUACCAAAGCUCACUUGAUGUGGAAAUGGGUACAGAGUUUCAUGGAGUUCCACAAGCCUGAAAGGAGUGUUCAGCAACACAUCAGUUAAAAAAGGAGACUCUAAGGUUGCUAGCAGCUCUAGAAAAAAGGUGAGGUGAUGUACAUGGAAACCACUGGUCCAGAGACCUGGUCUCUUUAAUAGCAUUUGUGACUUUUUGUAGUUUAAGCCGCCAAAUUCAUUCUCUCCACCUACUCUGACCAUUUAAUGUCUGGCAAAGAGGAAAGUAAAGAGUGAAGAUGGCAUUCACUGGUUCAUAAAUCAAAAGGCUGACAUGUGGAGUCUGUAUGAGACAAACUAAUCUUCCAAAUUCUCAAAACAGAAGGAAUGGGCAUAUGCUCCAAGGAGUGGAAAUGUUAAAUUUGGUGAAUGUGUUUUGGAAAACAAUACCCAAAUCAAGAUGAAUACUUCUUCAAAGAACUUCAGAGAACUUUUCCUGGAACUUUUGCUUCUUCAUCUUUCACUGUAUGAAGCAACACUCAGCAAGUACUUUGUCACAUUUUUAAGAAAAUUAGUUAAGACUGGAUCACAGACUUGAUGCAAAAACAUUAACUAACAGAGUAAUACAAGAACAAUAAAAAAUGCAUAUUACAGAGGGGUAGUGGAGAGGAAUAUUUUCCACUUACCCCAGACAUUUAGGGCAUUAGUCAUCUUGAUUACACUUGCAUGGAAAUAUUGAGCACAAAGACAAUGAGGAGUUCUAGUAAAAAUUACAUGAUAAUAGAAGGUGAGAAGGGUUCGAUAAAUGACAAAAAUAUCCUAAGUGAAAGCCCUACGGAAAGUUCUUAACACAGAUAGGUGAAUUCCAAAAGAAGGUAACACUUGUCUUCUACAGAAGAUCAUUUCCAGAAAUGACACAGAGAUCAUGAGUGUGGUGACUUUCAACUUUUCCCUCUCUAUCUCAUUCUUAUCUGAGAGUCCUGAGAUGUGUAGGAGACUGGGCUCUUGGGUAUUGUAUAAAAUUGAAAUAAAAUCCUUUAACUUUUAGCUAAGGAAAUAACCAUGCUUAGGCUAUUUUUGGACUCUACAAAU